rnacentral:rRNA from 1 species
CAGCAGCCGCGGUAAUACGUAGGGUGCAAGCGUUAAUCGGAAUUACUGGGCGUAAAGCGUGCGCAGGCGGUUUGUUAAGACAGAUGUGAAAUCCCCGGGCUCAACCUGGGAACUGCAUUUGUGACUGCACAGCUAGAGUAUGGCAGAGGGGGGUGGAAUUCCACGCGUAGCAGUGAAAUGCGUAGAGAUGUGGAGGAACACCGAUGGCGAAGGCAGCCCCCUGGGCCAAUACUGACGCUCAUGCACGAAAGCGUGGGGAGCAAACAGGAUUAGAUACCCCUGUAGUCCCUGUCUCUUAUAC